rnacentral:rRNA from 1 species
UGGGGAAUAUUGGACAAUGGGGGCAACCCUGAUCCAGCAAUGCCGCGUGUGUGAAGAAGGCCUUCGGGUUGUAAAGCACUUUUAUCCGGAACGAAACGCGCUUGGUUAAUACCUAAGCGAACUGACGGUACCGGAGGAAUAAGCACCGGCUAACUUCGUGCCAGCAGCCGCGGUAAUACGAAGGGUGCAAGCGUUACUCGGAAUGACUGGGCGUAAAGGGUGCGUAGGUGGUUCGUUAAGUUGGAUGUGAAAGCCCUGGGCUCAACCUGGGAAUGGCAUUCAAUACUGGCAGACUAGAGUUCGAUAGAGGAUCGUGGAAUUCCCGGUGUAGCGGUGAAAUGCGUAGAGAUCGGGAGGAACAUCUGUGGCGAAGGCGGCGAUCUGGAUCAGAACUGACACUCAAGCACGAAAGCGUGGGGAGCAAACAGG